rnacentral:pre_miRNA from 1 species
GAGGUACUCCCUCCGUUCGAAAUUACUUGUCUCGGAAAUGGAUGUAUCUAGAACUAAAAUACGUCUAGAUACAUCCAUUUUCGAGACAAGUAAUUCCGAACGGAGGGAGUAGUAG